rnacentral:lncRNA from 1 species
AAAAGCAGUGGAGUCGUUUCUGCCUUGGAGAUGCUUCCCCUGAAUCCAUGUUUAAAGAAAAACCAAUGACCUUCAUCUCUCAAAGAAAACUGUAUGUCUCACCGAUUCUCAUCUUAACGCAGAUUUCCAUGGUCUUGCAUAUAAAAGCAACAUUUGAAGACUUUAAGAAAUAAGACAUUGCCAUAAAAUCUGGCUCAAUUUGUCUUAGCUUUGUUGGUCUGAGUGAAGUGAAACCAAAGCUGUAACUUUGCACAGUGUCCUGCUCGUGAGACUGGAGAGGCUGAUCACCUACCCACUUCCUCUGCUUUGUCAAGAUUUUCCUUCCCUUUUUGGAGGUUUAAGUUCUUAUGCCAGCAUUCAGUUGAUGUUCUGUGCAAAUCAUUUUACAUUUCAAGAGGCUAAGUGGUGCCAUUUCUCUUAAUUGUUGUCAGAUGUGAGCAUCAUGUUACGGACUGAAGAAUAAAGUGUUCUUCCCUUUGGAAAUAGAGCAAGGCCCCUUUUACAAGGAAAGUCUAAUUAGAAAUGCACUGCAUUCAUUCCCUUGGGUCUCAGUUGGCCGUGAAUAUCACAGCACUGCAUUGAGAAUGGAACACUCACACACAUGGCUAGCAAAAUACUUUCUAAACCUUUUUGACAAUAUCAUUUCUCUCAAUAUUUUGUGUAAUUUUUUUUCAUGAACUUUGAAAUACCCUUUCAUGUUGUUCUUCAGAGAAUCUUUAGUGCAAGAUAAGAAAAUUGAAACCAAAAGAGCAUUAAACUAUUAUGUGAGACAACUCAAAAUCUCAUUUCCCCAAAAAACAUGCCAUUCACCAUUCUACUCAAUUCUACAAAAUAAUAACAACAAAAUCUAAGCAAUAUACAUGCAAGAAGCAAAGAAGGCCAAGUCCUCAGCCCUGCCAGGAGGCUGGUCAAAACACAGUCUUGGAGAAAUCUACAUAAAAGAAACAUUUAGGAGUUCCCGUCGUGGCGCAGUGGUUAACGAAUCCGACUAGGAACCAUGAGGUUGCGGGUUCGAUCCCUGCCCUUCCUCAGUGGGUUAAUGAUCCGGCGUUGCCGUGAGCUGUGGUGUAGGUUGCAGACACGGCUCGGAUCCCGCGUUGCUGUGUCUCUGGCGUAGGCCAGUGGCUACGGCUCCGAUUCAACCCCUAGCCUGGGAACCUCCAUAUGCCGCGGGAGGGGCCCAAGAAAUAGCAACAAUAACAACAACAACAACAACAAAAAAGACAAAAAGACAAAAAAAAAAAAAAAAAAAAAAA